rnacentral:lncRNA from 1 species
GGGGGUUCAAGCAUCACUUACCAAGUAACAAGAGAGAGAGGGAUGAUGGCCACCUUAGAGCUUCAAACAAACUUCACUAGAACACUCACUAUCACCAAAAGAAAGGAUUUUAUGGAAUGAAAUCAAACCUAAACUCUUGUUUGUGGAAGAUUGAGUGAUAUGGAAGCUUGAAAGUUGGGAAAAUUUCUUCUUCUUUGAGAGAGAGAGGGCCGGCCAACACAAGGAAGAAAAUGGUGAAUUUUUGUGAUUUUUUGAAGUAUUUAACACUUAGUCAAAAAUAGUCAAAAGUAUGAAUAGUGUUUCUUAAGUCAACCCAAUGGUAGAGUGACACUUGUCACCCUCAUAAAUGCAUUCCAACCCUUUCUUUUCUCUCUCACAUCAAUCAAAUCUCACUCUCUACUUAUCUCUUAACACCCGAUAAAUUUUACACAGUAUCUGAAACUUAACCUUAUUGGCCGAAUUUUUCCGAACUUAUCGCACUAGUGGGUCCCACGUCCACUAUUUACUCUUAAUUUUCUAAAAAAGCACCAAUACUAGAAAAAUCAUCUUAAAACUAUAAUUGCUCAUAAAAUCCCCAGAAAAAUAUUUCUAAGCCAGAAAAUGCAAAAAUUAUGCACUUAAGGGGUAAUAAACCCUAGAAAAAUAUUAGGGUUUUACGGGUUCUCACAAUUUUUCUCAUUUUGCAGGUUUGUUUUAGGAAAAGAAAAACAAAAAAAGAAACAAAAAGAAGCAAAAAAAAAAGAAAGAAAAAAAAAGAG